rnacentral:rRNA from 1 species
GCAUCGAUGAAGAACGUAGCGAAUUACGAUAUGUAAUGUGAAUUGCAGAAUUCAGUGAAUCAUCGAAUCUUUGAACGCACCUUGCGCUCUUUGGUAUUCCGAAGAGCAUGCCUGUUUGAGUGUCAU